rnacentral:rRNA from 1 species
ACUGUUUGGCUUGAAUUAUUUGGAAGUAACUAGAAUAUGUAGUGUAGCGGUGAAAUGCUUAGAGAUUACAUGGAAUACCAAUUGCGAAGGCAGGUUACUACAAAUUGAUUGACGCUGAUGGACGAAAGCGUGGGUAGCGAACAGGAUUAGAUACCCUGGUAGUCCACGCCGUAAACGAUGGAUACUAGCUGUUGGGAGCAAUCUCAGUGGCUAAGCGAAAGUGAUAAGUAUCCCACCUGGGGAGUACGUUCGCAAGAAUGAAACUCAAAGGAAUUGACGGGGGCCCGCACAAGCGGUGGAGCAUGUGGUUUAAUUCGAUGAUACGCGAGGAACCUUACCAAGGCUUAAAUGUAGAUUGACCGGUUUGGAAACAGACUUUUCGCAAGACAAUUUACAAGGUGCUGCAUGGUUGUCGUCAGCUCGUGCCGUGAGGUGUCAGGUUAAGUCCUAUAACGAGCGCAACCCCUGUUGUUAGUUGCCAGCGAGUCAUGUCGGGAACUCUAGCAAGACUGCCAGUGUAAACUGUGAGGAAGGUGGGGAUGACGUCAAAUCAUCACGGCCCUUACGCCUUGGGCUACACACGUGCUACAAUGGCCGGUACAGAGAGCAGCCACUACGCAAGUAGGAGCGAAUCUACAAAACCGGUCUCAGUUCGGAUCGGAGUCUGCAACUCGACUCC